GACCAGAACAAGGAGGGGCAAACCAUUCUCUACCUAGUCUUUGAGUACAUGGACACGGAUCUGAAAAAGUACAUCAGAAGUUUCCGCCAGAGCCAUGAAAUGAUGCCACCAAUGACUGUUAAGAUUUUGAUGUAUCAACUCUGCAAAGGAAUUUCAUUCUGUCAUGGUCAUGGAGUGUUGCACAGGGAUCUUAAGCCUCACAAUCUUUUAAUGGACCGCAAGACUAUGAUGCU